AAAGUCGUAACAAGGUUUCCGUAGGUGAACCUGCGGAAGGAUCAUUACUGAGUAAUAAGGUUUGGUUUCUUGUGGCAUUACUGCUACCUGGGGAGCCACUCCUUCCUUCUCUUCUACCCUUUUGUUAUCAUACCAUAUAGUUGCUUUGGCAAUUGCAGGUCUUCUUGCAGCUGCCAAAGGAAACCCUUUUAAACCCCUUUAGUAUCCAAUAAUUGGUAUUCUAUUGUCUGAUUUUAUUACUUUAAUAGUAUUAUAAAACUUUUAACAACGGAUCUCUUGGUUCUG
rnacentral:misc_RNA from 1 species